rnacentral:rRNA from 1 species
AUUGAACGCUGGCGGCAGGCUUAACACAUGCAAGUCGAACGAGUGGCGGACGGGUGAGUAAUGCUUGGGAAUCUAGCUUAUGGAGGGGGAUAACUACGGGAAACUGUAGCUAAUACCGCGUACCAUAGGAUGAGCCCAAGUGGGAUUAGGUAGUUGGUGAGGUAAAGGCUCACCAAGCCGACGAUCUCUCGCUGGUCUGAGAGGAUGACCAGCCACACUGGGACUGAGACACGGCCCAGACUGCUCCGGGAGGCAGCAGUGGGGAAUAUUGCGGAAUGGGGGCAACCUGACGCAGCCAUGCCGCGUGAAUGAAGAAGGCCUUCGGGUUGUAAAGGUCUUUCGGUAGCGAGGCGUUAACUACAGAAGAAGCACCGGCUAACUCCGUGCCAGCAGCCGCGGUAAUUC